CUAAAAUUGGAACGAUACAGAGAAGAUUAGCAUGGCCCCUGCGCAAGGAUGACACGCAAAAUGUGGGUGACGGAGCAGUGAGCG
rnacentral:snRNA from 1 species